CCUGUUACAAACCCAAACACUUGCAGGCUGCAGAGUUCCUAUGCACUCUGGAAAUUGACAACAUUGAAACAUCAAACGCGUGGUGCUACAUCUCAUGUUCGAAACGCUCCCGGAAACUUCAGCGUGGUUUUUUUAUGUUCACUGUGCCUCAUAGAUAUAGUAGGGAGGAACUUAACACCCCAGCUGAAGCUUUCAGAAUUUAAUUUCCCAGCAAAGCAUCAGUCAUUCACCGUAUCCGCAUUUUUGAUCGCAACGAACAUGCACCUCUCCCGAAAUUCACAGCACAAGUGAUGAUAACCCGACGAUGAAAUGCCAUGAGUUGGAGCUGUGAAAAAAGAUUCAUCCCAAGGAUUUGAAAGCUGUUAGUUGUCAACAGCAGCGGCCCCAGUAAUCAUGUCAUGGUGGAAGGCCACCCAGGAGGAAAUAUCGAACCAAACAAUAUCCCUGUCUCCUGAAGAGUUUCCAGAGGCCGAUGGUGUGCACACUUCGAAGAAACCUCGCAAUGGGUAAGCUUCAGAUUAUUAGAGGCCACUAAAUUGUUGCUGACUCUCACAACUGCUUUGUUAUCAAUUAAUUAGGAGGGAAUAGGUGGCAUAAGUGUGGCGGUGUUCAUCCUCCAAAAAGAAAUAGAGAACCCAAGUCUCAUUUUACAUAAAUAUUGUUUACUAUGAGUGAAUGGUUGAGUGGUGGGGAUUUGGGUUUAGUAGGCUACACAUCUCAAAUUCAAUAUUUAGUUUAAACGAAAUCAGUUAUCGAAGGAUGUGGUUUACAUUUUUCUGAAAAGUUGGUUUGUUAUUGAUUUUUUAUAUAAGGUUUCCCUUUAAAU